UACGAAGGGGGCUAGCGUUGCUCGGAAUCACUGGGCGUAAAGCGCACGUAGGCGGCUUUCUAAGUCAGGGGUGAAAUCCUGGAGCUCAACUCCAGAACUGCCUUUGAUACUGGAGAGCUUGAGUCCGGGAGAGGUGAGUGGAACUCCGAGUGUAGAGGUGAAAUUCGUAGAUAUUCGGAAGAACACCAGUGGCGAAGGCGGCUCACUGGCCCGGUACUGACGCUGAGGUGCGAAAGCAUGGGGAGCAAACAGG
rnacentral:rRNA from 1 species